UCAGGACGAACGCUGGCGGCGUGCCUAAUACAUGCAAGUCGAGCGAAUCGACGGGAGCUUGCUCCCUGAGAUUAGCGGCGGACGGGUGAGUAACACGUGGGCAACCUGCCUAUAAGACUGGGAUAACUUCGGGAAACCGGAGCUAAUACCGGAUACGUUCUUUUCUCGCAUGAGAGAAGAUGGAAAGACGGUUUACGCUGUCACUUAUAGAUGGGCCCGCGGCGCAUUAGCUAGUUGGUGAGGUAAUGGCUCACCAAGGCGACGAUGCGUAGCCGACCUGAGAGGGUGAUCGGCCACACUGGGACUGAGACACGGCCCAGACUCCUACGGGAGGCAGCAGUAGGGAAUCUUCCGCAAUGGACGAAAGUCUGACGGAGCAACGCCGCGUGAACGAAGAAGGCCUUCGGGUCGUAAAGUUCUGUUGUUAGGGAAGAACAAGUACCAGAGUAACUGCUANNNUANGGUACCUUGACGGUACCUAACCAGAAAGCCACGGCUAACUACGUGCCA
rnacentral:rRNA from 1 species